rnacentral:lncRNA from 1 species
CGCCACAGGAGAUUCCACAGCAGAACUGACUGCUUUCCGAGUUAAGCCCCGACUGCUCUGGGAGCUUCCUUCUGGUUUCUGCACCUGAAGAAGGUCUUACUAGCGGAAAGUUCUUAGGGACGGGAGCGAAAAUGAGAAGCAAACAAAAAGGCCUGAACGUAGAGUCCUGAGAGAAAAAUCUGCCCAGCCCCAGACACCUGCCAUCAGUAAGUUGGUUCUCCCCACGGCGGAGCUUCAGACCCCAUCACCUGCCUCUUCCUCCCCAGCCAUCUCUGUGGCUCUGCUUAGGCGUUUGCCGCCCAGGGAAGCCUGAGAUGAGGAAUCUGAACUAAUUUCAUGGCUCCAGGGCCCCUGACUUUAUAUGGGGAUGUCCCCCUCCCAGGCAGAAAUGUCCAUUUCAGCUGUGUAAAGCAACUCCCCUGAGCAGAAGGAAUGUGAAACAACAGGACCAGAAGACUAGCCUCCGGAGCUACAAAUGUAUCAACUUGAAAUGCUGGGCAUAAAUGGAUUAAAAGGAUACAUAGUUGGUGUCUGCUUGAACAAUGGGCACAAUUCAAGCAUGAAAGCAGUAUUUGUAUCCAAAAGAGGUCCUUUCCUAUGCUACAUCCCACAACAUGAGGCCCAAGAUCACGUCUGUCCUAACGAGCUCACAUUUGUGCUUCAGUGGUUUGCUCAAGUGUUACUUCCUUCUUUGCAAAGUCUUAACUGGUCUCUCCAAUCUUUGUGCACCGUUAUCUCUGGCACAUACUGGCAUGAAGCAAAUGUCUGUUGGAUGGAUUUCAAAACCGAGAAGUGGAAGACAUGGAAAAGAAUGAGGAAUGAUGUUGACUACUGA